UACCCAGCAACUCCUAUCCCUACCUCCACGCGGGACCGGCCGGAAACUAUGAGCAACCUUAGGGAAGAUCGGGUAACCAACCCUGGUGGGAACUUUGGUCGUAGGCUGACAGGAAAGG
rfam:Aedes albopictus isolate Foshan contig19646, whole genome shotgun sequence.